rnacentral:rRNA from 1 species
GAUGAACGCUGGCGGCGUGCCUAAUACAUGCAAGUCGAGCGAAUGGAUUAAGAGCUUGCUCUUAUGAAGUUAGCGGCGGACGGGUGAGUAACACGUGGGUAACCUGCCCAUAAGACUGGGAUAACUCCGGGAAACCGGGGCUAAUACCGGAUAACAUUUUGAACCGCAUGGUUCAAAAUUGAAAGGCGGCUUCGGCUGUCACUUAUGGAUGGACCCGCGUCGCAUUAGCUAGUUGGUGAGGUAACGGCUCACCAAGGCAACGAUGCGUAGCCGGCCUGGGAGGGUGAUCGGCCACACUGGGACUGAGACACGGCCCAGACUCCUACGGGAGGUAGCAGUAGGGAAUCUUCCGCAAUGGACGAAAGUCUGACGGAGCAACGCCGCGUGAGUGAUGAAGGCUUUCGGGUCGUAAAACUCUGUUGUUAGGGAAGAACAAGUGCUAGUUGAAUAAGCUGGCACCUUGACGGUACCUAACCAGAAAGCCACGGCUAACUACGUGCCAGCAGCCGCCGUAA